CACUCUUUUAACUAUCCAUGAUUAUAGUACAGUAAAAAUAUGUCAUAAAAUAUAUAUUUUACUGUAAAAUACAAACAUUUACGUACCUAUUUGAUAGUGUGUAAAUAUAUCCUCCGUUGUUGGACUAAUAUAAUUUUCCAAGACUUUGCACUCGGUGUUGCGCGGUAUUUGAUGUGGGUAUCCCCGUGUUUUGUGUAUUCCAUAGAUAUAGAAGAACUAGAACAUGUAGAUGUGUAUAAACUUCAGCAAAAAACUUGGCCGCUUUUCGCUCAGUCGAAGAAGUUUAUACUUUAUAUAUAACUCAAAAUGACAUCAUUU